AGUUUGGUAUGUUAAUUAAAACUAUAGUAUUGCAAAUACUAAGAUAAUGUUUCUUCGUUUCUGCUCG
rnacentral:tRNA from 1 species